GUUUUAAUAGUUUAUCAUAAAACAUUGGUCUUGUAAACCAAAAUCAAGCUUGCUUUUAAAACU
rnacentral:tRNA from 1 species